UCCCUUGGUCACCAAUGGAAAGGAAGGUAUUCCCUUCUUGGCACUGGAGUUUCGUCAGUUUGUGAAUUCUAGGAGGUAUCAUCCUGCCGAUUGAGAAAUAUUUUGAGAGGCCCAUGACCUUUGGCUGACACUCGGCGAGGCUAUUAGUUUACCCGUGGAUGCGCUACCAAACCCAGAGGAGUCAAACGGGACGUCUUUUCUGGAAAGCUGAUUGCAAGAAUUUUUCUUUAUAAAGACUCUAGUAACAGAUGGAACAGACAAAGGAGAAUAAAAGGAGACAAGUGGGGGGCGGUGCUUCACUUCCGCUGAUUGGUAUAACAUCAGUUUCUAGUGUCUUUCCAACCAUAUGUUCAAAAUGGAGAGCACGGUUCACAUUUCAAUGUCACGCUGCCCUCCGUUCAUAAACAUGUAUCAUCCAUCACUAAAUAUUUAGAUCCGAAUUGUUGGAGCUGAGCUCUGUGCCAGGGGUAAAGGGAUUAAUUCCUUUCAAGGUCCUCACAUGAUGGAUUUUCCCCUGAAGUAAACAUCCGAGAAGCGCCCACACUGAAGCCAUAAAAUGUAUAAAUAAAGUUUAAAGUUUAAUUAAGUCAACAUUA